GGGAGGCAGCAGUGGGGAAUUUUGGACAAUGGGCGAAAGCCUGAUCCAGCAAUGCCGCGUGUGUGAAGAAGGCCUUCGGGUUGUAAAGCACUUUUGUCCGGAAAGAAAUCCUUCGAGAUAAUACCUUGAGGGGAUGACGGUACCGGAAGAAUAAGCACCGGCUAACUACGUGCCAGCAGCCGCGGUAAUACGUAGGGUGCGAGCGUUAAUCGGAAUUACUGGGCGUAAAGCGUGCGCAGGCGGUGAUGUAAGACCGAUGUGAAAUCCCCGGGCUUAACCUGGGAACUGCAUUGGUGACUGCAUCGCUGGAGUAUGGCAGAGGGGGGUAGAAUUCCACGUGUAGCAGUGAAAUGCGUAGAGAUGUGGAGGAAUACCGAUGGCGAAGGCAGCCCCCUGGGCCAAUACUGACGCUCAUGCACGAAAGCGUGGGGAGCAAACAGGAUUAGAUACCCUGGUAGUCCACGCCCUAAACGAUGUCAACUGGUUGUCGGGCCUUCAUUGGCUUGGUAACGUAGCUAACGCGUGAAGUUGACCGCCUGGGGAGUACGGUCGCAAGAUUAAAACUCAAAGGAAUUGACGGGGACCCGCACAAGCGGUGGAUGAUGUGGAUUAAUUCGAUGCAACGCGAAAAACCUUACCUACCCUUGACAUGUACGGAACCCUGCCGAGAGGUGGGGGUGCCCGAAAGGGAGCCGUAA
rnacentral:rRNA from 1 species